rnacentral:rRNA from 1 species
UACGUAGGGUGCAAGCGUUAAUCGGAAUUACUGGGCGUAAAGCGUGCGCAGGCGGCUUUGCAAGACAGAUGUGAAAUCCCCGGGCUUAACCUGGGAACUGCAUUUGUGACUGCAUGGCUGGAGUGCGGCAGAGGGGGAUGGAAUUCCGCGUGUAGCAGUGAAAUGCGUAGAUAUGCGGAGGAACACCGAUGGCGAAGGCAAUCCCCUGGGCCUGCACUGACGCUCAGUGCACGAAAGCGUGGGGAGCAAACAG